CAUAGCGACUAUCGUGGCAUAUCAAUAAGCGGAGGAAAAGAAACUAACAAGGAUUCCCUUAGUAACGGCGGGUGAAGCGGGAAGAGCUCAAAUUUGAAAUCUUCAAGGUUUUACCUUGACGAAUUGUAGUUUAAAGAAGUGUUUUCUGUUGGAGUUUUGGUAAAAGUUCUUUGGAAUAGGACAUCAUAGAGGGUGAGAAUCCCGUAUUUGACCAUUAUUUCCAGCUUUGUGAUACACUUUCAAAGAGUCGGAUUGUUUGGGAAUGCAGUCCAAAAUGGGUGGUAAAUUUCAUCUAAAGCUAAAUAUUGGCGAGAGACCGAUAGCGAACAAGUACCGUGAGGGAAAGAUGAAAAGAACUUUGAAAAGAGAGUUAAACAGUACGCGAAAUUGUCAAAAGGGAAGCGUUUGACACCAGUGUUGUUUAGUUGAAAAUCAAUUCAAUAAUUUUUGAUUUUGAAGUAGUAUUGACUUCAUCAGCUUGCUGCUUUCUUUUCGGAAAUUAUUGAAUGCACUUUUCGGUUAACAAGUCAACAUCAAUUUCUUUUGUUGUAAAAGGGUAUGAGGAAGGUGGCUUUCUUUUCGGAGAAAGUGUUUAUAGCCUUGUACCUCUGCAAUCGGAGAGAUUGAGGUCUGCAGCGUAGAUCCUUCGGGGUUAGAUACAUUUGUGCUAAGCUAUAGCCUUUCAUAGACAACUUGUUGACUAUGAUCAGUCAUGUAGCUUACUCGCUUAUGUCAUUUUACCUACGCUUAGGAUGUUGAUAUGCAUGACUGAUAU
rnacentral:rRNA from 1 species